ACUCGACAGCAGUGGGAGAACUGAGAAGCUUUGAGAAUCCUAAAAACAAGAUCACUGCAGUUCCUGCUAAGGAGGAAGAGAUCUGGGGUGCUACUUUCAAGGUGGAAGGGCCAGCAAUUCUUGCCGCCAGAGAGUAGAAGACUUUUCUAUAUCCAAUAAAAGGAGAGUUUAUGAUGAAGCUGUGCAAUCGGCAUAAGGGUCCAACGUGAAUUGCUGGGUAUGAAUCUUGGUAGAAUGUACAAGUAAAAAGCGCUAUUAGUUAGCAUUAUGGUUGUGAAAAGUAGUUGUAUCUUGCUAGCUUUGUCCUAAGCGCUUCGGUUUCUUCUAUGUACAGCCAUAAUGCUAACUAAUAGCGCUUUUUAC
rnacentral:misc_RNA from 1 species